AGUUCAAUUGGCUCCCUGAAGUGGAAGUAGGAACUGAGCUUCUUAGCUUCGGACAAGGAGUUGGUCAUUCAGAUAGAUUGCAUCCAGUGGAAAUGAUGUAUGGACAAGAUCACUGCUUGUCAGAGCUAAACCUUGGAAACCUCCAUUGCCAUGAAAACAUCACAGGUGAAAUUAUGUUGCAUUCACACAUGGUAAAAAGAGUGGGGAGGCUCUUUAAGGCACUGAUAUAGAAAAAUCUUCAGAGUGUAUUGUUAGGUGAAAAAUGCAAGGUGCAGAGUGGUAUGUAUAACAUGCUGCCAUUUUGUUUUGUUUUGUUUUGUUUUGUUUGGAAGACAACAAGGGAAUAUGUAGAGGUAUUUGCUGUCUCAGGUGACAGAGCUUCACACAUUUAAAAUGAAUUCGAAUCCCCUGGGAAUGUGCUCAAAUGCAGAUCCUUAUCCCCCACCUCCCAUUAGUCUGCAUUUCAAACGCCUAGAGCACAUGUGUCAAACACAAGGCCCGCGGGCCAAAU